rnacentral:rRNA from 1 species
UACGUAGGCAGCAAGCGUUGUUCGGAGUUACUGGGCGUAAAGGGUGUGUAGGCGGUUUUUUAAGUUUGGUGUGAAAUCUCCCGGCUCAACUGGGAGGGUGCGCCGAAUACUGAAAGACUAGAGUGCGGGAGAGGAAAGUGGAAUUCCUGGUGUAGCGGUGAAAUGCGUAGAUAUCAGGAGGAACACCGGUGGUGUAGACGGCUUUCUGGACCGUAACUGACGCUGAGACACGAAAGCGUGGGUAGCAACCAGG